rnacentral:lncRNA from 1 species
UAAAUGGUUAAGUAAUCACACACACGAUGUGUAAAUACAAUGUAUUCGCGAUCUAUUUCUUCAAUUUCUGCACUGAAGUUUUUAAUUUUUUAAUUCUCUUCUGAAAAUACUGAUUUUCUUGAUGAUCAUUUAUGCUAUUACAUGAUAACAUAGUCCGAUAAGGCUGAGAUAAGCGUGGCUCAGGUAAAACUAAUUAUCAGUUAUUGCGUAACACUGACCGACCUCUCAGCGGUGAUCAGCAACUUGACAAUUUUAACCAACAUUUAUAAUGAAAAUGUGAAAAUUAACAUGCUGCGGGAUCAAGUAUUAAGGGACAGCGGCCAAUUAAGACGCUGCGGGAUCUACGAAAAUAUUAUGAAGGCGCUGCGGCACCGCAGCGUCAUAUCGGCCUGGGGAGAACACUGGUAU